AAUAUGAAGGUCAGGCUGAAGACCUUACCCGAUUAGCUGAGAGGUGGUGCAUGGCCGUCGUCAGUUCGUACUGUGAAGCAUCCUGUUAAGUCAGGCAACGAGCGAGACCCACGUCCACAGUUGCCAGCAUACCCUCCGGGGUGAUGGGUACACUGUGGAGACCGCCGCUGCUAAGGCGGAGGAAGGAGUGGGCAACGGUAGGUCAGUAUGCCCCGAAUCUCCCGGGCUACACGCGGGCUACAAUGGUUGGUACAAUGGGCAUCUACCCCGAAAGGGGAAGGAAAUCUCUUAAAGCCAAUCGUAGUUCGGAUUGAGGGCUGCAACUCGCCCUCAUGAAGCUGGAAUCCGUAGUAAUCGCGUUUCAACAGAACGCGGUGAAUACGUCCCUGCUCCUU
rnacentral:rRNA from 1 species